GACGAACGCUGGCGGCGUGCUUAACACAUGCAAGUCGAGCGGUAAGGCCCUUUCGGGGGUACACGAGCGGCGAACGGGUGAGUAACACGUGGGUGACCUGCCCUCAGCUCUGGGAUAAGCCUGGGAAACCGGGUCUAAUACUGGAUAUGACUCCAUGACGCAUGUUGUGGGGUGGAAAGCCUUGUGCGGCUGAGGAUGGGCCCGCGGCCUAUCAGCUUGUUGGUGGGGUGAUGGCCUACCAAGGCGACGACGGGUAGCCGGCCUGAGAGGGCGACCGGCCACACUGGGACUGAGACACGGCCCAGACUCCUACGGGAGGCAGCAGUGGGGAAUCUUGCGCAAUGGGCGAAAGCCUGACGCAGCGACGCCGCGUGAGGGAUGACGGCCUCGGU
rnacentral:rRNA from 1 species